AUUGAACGCUGGCGGCAGGCCUAACACAUGCAAGUCGAGCGAGCGGCGGACGGGUGAGUAAUGUCUGUGAAACUGCCCGAUGAAGGGGGAUAACUCCUGGAAACGGUAGCUCAUACCGCAUCCCCUCAGCUAUGCCCAGAUGUGAUUAGCUAGUAUGUGGGGUACCGGCUCACUUAGGCGCCGAUGCCUAGCUGAUCUGAGAGGAUGACACGCCACACUGGAACUCAGACACGGUCCAGACUCCUACGGGAGGCAGCAGUGGGGAAGAUGGCACAAUGGGCGAAGGCCUGAUGCAGCCAUGCCGCGUGUGUGAAGAAGGGCGUCGGGUUGUAAAGCACUUUCAGCGGGGAGGCGUUACCCGCAGAAGAAGCACCGGCUAACUCCGUGCCAGCAGCCGCGGUAAUAC
rnacentral:rRNA from 1 species